AAAAUGACUUUAUAUUUAACAUAUUCUGAGUAUGUCAUGCAUAGUUUUAUAGGCAGACCCUAGUUUUGGAAAUAAACUAAAUAAAAAUGGUUAACAGGAAUGGGUGGAAACGUUAGGGGCAGGAGUCCGCAAACUUCCAGAAUGUGGGAUCUUUUUAAAUAAUGUAUCUGAGAUUGAGCUCAGUUCCUCUUGUGUCUGUCAGCAUUAUUUUGUUUCUCAAUUGCUGUUGAGAUUGACAUUGUUGCUUCUCAAUACAUUUCAAAGCACUACAAAAUAUGUUUGGGCUCUAAAACUUAAUUCAUAGUCACCGAUAUUCUCUCCUUUUUAGGAAUGAUUGUAAAGUUUGCUAUAUGCGCAAUAAAUGCAAUUGUUGCAAUGAUUUACUUGAAUUUACAUAUGGG